CUUCCAUUAUGAAGUUAGAGGCUCAGGGAAGAGAGAAAUUCCAGGUGACAAAGGAUUACAACCUUUUUUGUUCUCUUUCUCUUUCCCAGUGUUAUCACUAAGCCAAGGAACGAAUCAAGGUAAAUAAAGUAAAAGCAGCUCCAAGAACGUGACGCACGCAUCUAAAUCAGGACUAACUCACUGGCAUUUUUUUGCUCCUCCAUCACACUUUCUCUCUCAGCUUCCACUCGCACUUUCUUCCUACGUGCCUGUCAUGUCCCACAGUAGUGUUAUUGGGCACGCGAGAAGCUCAGAGAUUAGUUGCCAGGAGACUCCUCCUCUCAUUCUGGACAUCUCCACUUCAAUUGCUUGCUGUUGUCUUUGCUAAUUGGCUUUGUUUGAGAGUCCCUCUCUGGAUGGGCCCACUUCCAAUCUCAGUCCACAUUCAAAAACAUCCUGCAAGUGCAGGCCUCAUUUCCAUGCUGACGUAUCCAGAUCCCCAUCUGGCGUAUGCUUGUUAUUCCUCCAUAAUCAUGGUCGAGCAUUGGUCAAGAGCUUGUAUUUACAACUAAUUGAAGUCGAAGUCGUCACUGCCAAGCAUUUGCAUGAGCUGUCCAUCGACAGAUAGACUCGCGCUUGAAGGACAUGGACAUUAGAAUUCAUUGGCCAAAAGUACGGAAAAUCAAGAUGUGAAUGCAGAUAAAAAUGCAGUUAAAAGAGUCUUUCAUGUUUCUCAAAAUCCUUGGAAAAAAAACCUUUAAGAAAGCAGAAACUAUAAAAAUGUCUUUCCCCAUCAAAGUUUACUUUAAAAGCGGACCCUAGAAUGAAAUUUAUUCAAAUUGUGUGCCUUCAAAGCUGUCAAUAUAUCAGAAUGAAGGAAGGCAAGUCCAAUAUUAAGGCAUAUAAUGGAUUAUAGCCACACACAAAUCGAUUGGACAUCCCCCUAAAUCGCUCAUCGUGACCUUUGCAAUGAACCGACAAGAGGCAGCAUUCCUUGCCACAUUUGGUUGUAGCUCUUUUGGUCAGUUAGUAGGCCAACUGGCGCCUUGUCUUCGCCGCCUGAAAGUCAAUUUCAAUCAGCAAACAAAGGAAAUUCCUAGGCCGGAACCUAAGCACAAACAUAAGAGUGGUCAAUGAGGCCAAGAGGAGGCACGCAGCCCGGACUCCGGAUGGAUAACCCAGACAAAGUAGCUGGGACAUACCUCGGACCGAAGGACCAGAAGGAGCCAGCCGAAACUUUGUCGGCGAUUUAUGCACAAGCAAAGCAUUUUAAACACAUGCAUAAAUCACACACACACACACAUAGGAAGCCCCGGAGAGGGAGAGUCAGAGAGCGGAACAGAAUGAAAUAUUUGGCAAACAGUUGCUUAAAGCCAAAGUUUUUAAAUGCCCAAAUGAUCGGGUCAGGUUGGGUCAGGUUGGGUCUGCAAGUCUGUUCAUCUUCUCUGCUCUGAUGAUGUGUGACAGUUUGUGGCAAAAUGGAAACGGAAUAAAGAAACGAAGGCCACACCAUUAGGCUCAUAAUUGCCACAUGGAUAUGGAACAGAAUAUGGAGCCGGCCCAGAGUGAGAGAGAGAGAGGAGUUCACAUGUGCCAUCUGUCGGAAGUAAAUUGUGGUUUAUUUGUUUUCAUUUACUUUCACUUGGCUCACAUAAAAUUUAAUUAAAUUGUUUUAUUGCAUUCUGGCCGAAUGGCAUUCCUUUUGGGCCAACUGCCUCGUCAGCCGGCUCAGCAUCUUCCGAGCAAAUGGAAUGCCCGAAAGAAAAGAAAAGAAAAGAAAUCUGUGUUCGCAUAAUUAAAAUAAGGCGCGGCUUCGCAUUUUUGUGGCUUUGGCUAAUCUUUUAUUGGAUUUCCCAGCCAUGCCAGCCAGGAGCCGGUCUUGGACUGGAGCUUAAAUUCCUUUGGUCCAUUCAUUCAUCAAAUGAAAUCAAGAUUUGUAUGUUAAGGCAUUUCCUCAUUUGCUUGGGGGCUUUGUAAAAACCUGACCGGCCUCCUGUAACAUUUGGAUGAAUGGAAACAAAAAUAAAACUCCGCUAAGUAAUUGACCCACGCGUUUGAGUGAC
rnacentral:lncRNA from 1 species